GACGAACGCUGGCGGCGUGCUUAACACAUGCAAGUCGAACGGAAAGGCCCUGCUUGCUGGGGCCCCGAGGGGCGAACGGGUGAGUAACACGUGGGUGAUCGGCCCUGCACCUCGGGAUAGGCCUGGGAAACUGGGUCUAAUACCGGAUAGGAGCCAUAUUGCCUGUGAUGGUUGGAAAGUUUUUUCGGUGUAGGAUGAGCUCGCGGCCUAGCAGCUUGUUGGAGGGGUAAGGGUCUACCAAGGCGGCGGCGGGGAGCCGGCCCGAGAGGGUGGACGGCCACAUUGAGACUGGGACUCGGACCAGGCUCCGACUGGAGGCAGAAGUGGGAGAGAUUGAAAAAGGGGAGCGAGCCUGAUGCAGCGACACCGCGGGGGGGAUGACGACCUACGGGUUGGGGACUCAUAUCGCUAGGGACGGAGAUUUUUGUGACGGUACCUAGAGAAGAAGCACCGGCUAACUACGUG
rnacentral:rRNA from 1 species